UACAGAGGUCUCGAGCGUUGUUCGGAUUCAUUGGGCGUAAAGGGUGCGUAGGUGGCUAGGUAAGUCAGAUGUGAAAUCCCGGGGCUCAACCCCGGAACUGCAUUCGAUACUGCCUGGCUAGAGUACUGGAGAGGAGAUUGGAAUUUACGGUGUAGCAGUGAAAUGCGUAGAUAUCGUAAGGAAGACCAGUGGCGAAGGCGGAUCUCUGGACAGUUACUGACACUGGGGCACGAAGGCCAGGGGAGCAAACGGG
rnacentral:rRNA from 1 species